CCUACGGGUGGCAGCAGUGAGGAAUAUUGGUCAAUGGCCGGAAGGCUGAACCAGCCAAGCCGCGUGAAGGACGAAGGUGCCAAGCAUUGUAAACUUCUUUUGUAAAGGGACAAAACAAGGCUCGAGAGCCUGACCGCGGGUACUUUAAGAAAAAGCAUCGGCUAACUCCGUGCCAUCAGCCGCGGUAAUACGGAGGAUGCGAGCGUUAUCCGGAUUUAUUGGGUUUAAAGGGUGCGUAGGCGGACUGUUAAGUCAGCGGUAAAAGCCCGGGGCUCAACCCCGCCUAGCAGUUGAAACUGGCUGUCUUGAGAUGUCGAGAGGUAUGCGGAAUGCGCAGUGUAGCGGUGAAAUGCUUAGAUAUUGCGAAGAACUCCGAUUGCGAAGGCAGCAUACCGGCGGCGAUCUGACGCUGAGGCACGAAAGCGUGGGUAUCGAACAGGAGUAGAUACCCCAGUAGUC
rnacentral:rRNA from 1 species